AGUGAACGCUGGCGGUAGGCCUAACACAUGCAAGUCGAACGGCAGCACAGUAAGAGCUUGCUCUUACGGGUGGCGAGUGGCGGACGGGUGAGGAAUACAUCGGAAUCUACUUUUUCGUGGGGGAUAACGUAGGGAAACUUACGCUAAUACCGCAUACGACCUACGGGUGAAAGCAGGGGAUCUUCGGACCUUGCGCGAUUGAAUGAGCCGAUGUCGGAUUAGCUAGUUGGCGGGGUAAAGGCCCACCAAGGCGACGAUCCGUAGCUGGUCUGAGAGGAUGAUCAGCCACACUGGAACUGAGACACAGUCCAGACUCCUACGGGAGGCAGCAGUGGGGAAUAUUGGACAAUGGGCGCAAGCCUGAUCCAGCCAUACCGCGUGGGUGAAGAAGGCCUUCGGGUUGUAAAGCCCUUUUGUUGGGAAAGAAAAGCGGCAGGUUAAUACCCCGCUGUUCUGACGGUACCCAAAGAAUAAGCACCGGCUAACUUCGUG
rnacentral:rRNA from 1 species